rnacentral:tRNA from 1 species
AGAGACUUAGGAUAAACUUAGACCAAAAGCCUUCAAAGCUUUAAGCAGGAGUUAAAAUCUCCUAGUCCCUG